CAGUUUCUGUAAGAAGACAGAAGUAAAGAAAAUGCAGAAAAUUUUGCUGGAAACGCAGAAAAAUCCCACAGAACAAAAAAAGGUCCUGGUGGACAAAUGAUUACUGAAGAAACGUCACAGCUAUCGAUGAUGUUGGAAUAUCCAUCACAGGCAUUUGGAAAUGUACUAUGAAAGAUUAUAACAAAAUAGCUCAGGUUUGAGAAUUAAGCGAUGAUACCAGAGCAGUAGACCCAAUCCAGCAAGAAGAGGUCCUGGUUUGAUGAAGGAGCGCACACGCACACGCACACGCACACGCACACGCACACGCACACGCACACGCACACGCACACAUUCUAACACAUCCUUCUGACAUUCAGAAGGCUUACUAUUUUAUGGACAGGGCAAGGAAUGACUUCUUAUACCCAAUAAAAUACACAAUGUGGCAAUA